CUUAUGCCGGCGACCGGCGGACGGGUGCGUAACGCGUAUGUAACCUACCUUUGACAGGGGGAUAACAUCGAGAAAUUGGUACUAAUACCCCAUAACAUCACCGGAGGCAUCUUCGGUGGUUGAAAACUCAGGUGGUCAGAGAUGGACAUGCGUUGUAUUAGCUAGUUGGUGAGGUAACGGCUCACCAAGGCGACGAUACAGUAGGGGGACUGAGAGGUCCAACCCCCCACAUUGGUACUGAGACACGGACCAAACUCCUACGGGAGGCAGCAG
rnacentral:rRNA from 1 species